GCGUUAAGUUGCAGGGUAUAGACCCGAAACCCGGUGAUCUAGCCAUGGGCAGGUUGAAGGUUGGGUAACACUAACUGGAGGACCGAACCGACUAAUGUUGAAAAAUUAGCGGAUGACCUGUGGCUGGGGGUGAAAGGCCAAUCAAACCGGGAGAUAGCUGGUUCUCCCCGAAAGCUAUUUAGGUAGCGCCUCGUGAAUUCAUCUCCGGGGGUAGAGCACUGUUUCGGCUAGGGGGCCAUCCCGGCUUACCAACCCGAUGCAAACUGCGAAUACCGGAGAAUGUUAUCACGGGAGACACACGGCGGGUGCUAACGUCCGUCGUGAAGAGGGAAACAACCCAGACCGCCAGCUAAGGUCCCAAAGUCAUGGUUAAGUGGGAAACGAUGUGGGAAGGCCCAGACAGCCAGGAUGUUGGCUUAGAAGCAGCCAUCAUUUAAAGAAAGCGUAAUAGCUCACUGGUCGAGUCGGCCUGCGCGGAAGAUGUAACGGGGCUAAACCAUGCACCGAAGCUGCGGCAGCGACACUCAGGUGUUGUUGGGUAGGGGAGCGUUCUGUAAGCCUGCGAAGGUGGCCUGUGAGGGUUGCUGGAGGUAUCAGAAGUGCGAAUGCUGACAUAAGUAACGAUAAAGCGGGUGAAAAGCCCGCUCGCCGGAAGACCAAGGGUUCCUGUCCAACGUUAAUCGGGGCAGGGUGAGUCGACCCCUAAGGCGAGGCCGAAAGGCGUAGUCGAUGGGAAACGGGUUAAUAUUCCCGUACUUGGUGUUACUGCGAAGGGGGGACGGAGAAGGCUAUGUUGGCCGGGCGACGGUUGUCCCGGUUUAAGCGUGUAGGUGUGUGUUCCAGGUAAAUCCGGUUCACUUUAACACUGAGGCGUGACGACGAGGCACUACGGUGCUGAAGCAACAAAUGCCCUGCUUCCAGGAAAAGCCUCUAAGCAUCAGGUAACAUCAAAUCGUACCCCAAACCGACACAGGUGGUCAGGUAGAGAAUACCAAGGCGCUUGAGAGAACUCGGGUGAAGGAACUAGGCAAAAUGGUGCCGUAACUUCGGGAGAAGGCACGCUGACACGUAGGUGAAGUGAUUUACUCACGGAGCUGAAGUCAGUCGAAGAUACCAGCUGGCUGCAACUGUUUAUUAAAAACACAGCACUGUGCAAACACGAAAGUGGACGUAUACGGUGUGACGCCUGCCCGGUGCCGGAAGGUUAAUUGAUGGGGUCAGCGCAAGCGAAGCUCCUGAUCGAAGCCCCGGUAAACGGCGGCCGUAACUAUAACGGUCCUAAGGUAGCGAAAUUCCUUGUCGGGUAAGUUCCGACCUGCACGAAUGGCGUAAUGAUGGCCAGGCUGUCUCCACCCGAGACUCAGUGAAAUUGAACUCGCUGUGAAGAUGCAGUGUACCCGCGGCAAGACGGAAAGACCCCGUGAACCUUUACUAUAGCUUGACACUGAACAUUGAGCCUUGAUGUGUAGGAUAGGUGGGAGGCUUUGAAGCGUGGACGCCAGUCUGCGUGGAGCCGACCUUGAAAUACCACCCUUUAAUGUUUGAUGUUCUAACGUGGACCCGUGAUCCGGGUUGCGGACAGUGUCUGGUGGGUAGUUUGACUGGGGCGGUCUCCUCCUAAAGAGUAACGGAGGAGCACGAAGGUUGGCUAAUCCUGGUCGGACAUCAGGAGGUUAGUGCAAUGGCAUAAGCCAGCUUGACUGCGAGCGUGACGGCGCGAGCAGGUGCGAAAGCAGGUCAUAGUGAUCCGGUGGUUCUGAAUGGAAGGGCCAUCGCUCAACGGAUAAAAGGUACUCCGGGGAUAACAGGCUGAUACCGCCCAAGAGUUCAUAUCGACGGCGGUGUUUGGCACCUCGAUGUCGGCUCAUCACAUCCUGGGGCUGAAGUAGGUCCCAAGGGUAUGGCUGUUCGCCAUUUAAAGUGGUACGCGAGCUGGGUUUAGAACGUCGUGAGACAGUUCGGUCCCUAUCUGCCGUGGGCGCUGGAGAACUGAGGGGGGCUGCUCCUAGUACGAGAGGACCGGAGUGGACGCAUCACUGGUGUUCGGGUUGUCAUGCCAAUGGCACUGCCCGGUAGCUAAAUGCGGAAGAGAUAAGUGCUGAAAGCAUCUAAGCACGAAACUUGCCCCGAGAUGAGUUCU
rnacentral:rRNA from 1 species